GGGCGCCAAGAUCCCUCUGGGAUCUCUUGUUCAUGACGGGGUCACAAUCGAUGACGCAACGAAGUUGAUUGGUGUUCAUGGUUUUAAAAUGUCUCUUGCAGCGUUUAUUUCGAAAUAGCCCGGAUAUGCAGCAUAGACAAUGCAGCUGAUGGUUUUGGAUAGUGCACUUCCAAAUGUAACCUCCACUCUGACGUUUCCUUGUUUUAGCAAGGAACGUACUGAGGUGUAUCAAAUGUUUGACUCCAGUUUGCAAUUUUCUGAGCUUUGACCAUGCGAAGUACAUUUUCCCUCUCACCGUCAAUGAUGGAUUCCCCAGCAAGAUCGCAGUGUUCUACCCAUAGAAAGCGGCUGAAAACAUCGAUGACCAUCAACAAGUACUUCACACCAGAGUUUUGCUUUGACAAUGAUGUCAUGUCGAGUAAAUCUGUGUCAUAUUGCUCAAAUGGUUCUCCAACUUCAAUGCGUGCACGUUUAAAUGAACGUUUAACAGGUUUUUGAAGACUGUAAUCGUCAAGACUUUGAAUAUAUCGUCUAAUUUUAUAUAAACCUGGAGAAUUGUAUCCUUGUGAUUCUAGUACUUGAUGUACUUUUGUUGGACUU